AGUGAACGCUGGCGGUAGGCCUAACACAUGCAAGUCGAACGGCAGCACAGUAAGAGCUUGCUCUUACGGGUGGCGAGUGGCGGACGGGUGAGGAAUACAUCGUAAUCUACUUUUUCGUGGGGGAUAACGUAGGGAAACUUACGCUAAUACCGCAUACGACCUACGGGUGAAAGCAGGGGAUCUUCGGACCUUGCGCGAUUGAAUGAGCCGAUGUCGGAUUAGCUAGUUGGCGGGGUAAAGGCCCACCAAGGCGACGAUCCGUAGCUGGUCUGAGAGGAUGAUCAGCCACACUGGAACGGAGACACGGUCCAGACUACUACGGGAGGCAGCAGUGGGGAAUAUUGGACAAUGGGCGCAAGCCUGAUCCAGCCAUACCGCGUGGGUGAAGAAGGCCUUCGGGUUGUAAAGCCCUUUUGUUGGGAAAGAAAAGCAGCAGGUUAAUACCCCGCUGUUCUGACGGUACCCAAAGAAUAAGCACCGGCUAACUUCGUG
rnacentral:rRNA from 1 species